UGGCCAACCUAUAGCUGCCUGGCAC
rnacentral:piRNA from 1 species